ACUAUAUGUGGUGUUCAAGGUUCUUCCGAUUCGCUAGGGUUGGGAGCUAAGACGGGAAUUCGGUGCGUAACGCCAUCACGGCGGAGCAAGGCCGAAACUGCCCCCGCAACUGUGAGCGGCGAGCAUCGUUCCGAUUUGAGCCACUGGAGCCAAAAGCUCCGGGAAGGCUGGAAUAGAUGUUGUGACCCGCAAGUCAGGAGACCUGCCUUGAGCGCAAAUGUCCAC
rnacentral:ncRNA from 20 species